rnacentral:miRNA from 1 species
UACUGUAACUUUGUUAUUGGUAUGAGCUUUCGUGUGCAUGCACACUUCUUCAGAUACCUGAAGAAGUGUCUGAAAAAGCGUGCAUGCACACGAAAGCUCAUACCAAUAACAAACUUAGUUGG